GUGGGGGCGGGGUGCGACCGGCUAGAGCCUGGCCGGAAGAUCGUUAGGGAGGCUCGCUCAGCCCCGGGGCCCCCUGGCUAGCCUCCCUGCUCGCGGCUGCCCACCUGAGGACGUGACGCCCCACCAAUCCCCUUCGAGCUCCUCCAGGCCCCUUUGCCUUGCACCGCCCCCCUCCUCACCCUGAAAGGCGCAAGCUGCCCUGUCAGCUGUGAGCUCUCCCUGCGGAGCGCCCUUCUGGCUUCUCAACGGAAGGAUGCCUAAGCUCUUCUGUUGCCCUUAGCCAAACUUGCUUUCCCGCCUCUCGAAAACUCGAGCUUUCCUCUUCCCCCUCCCUUCAGCUCACUGUUCUCCACUCCUUUCCCCUCCUCUCCCAAGCCACAAACCCAAGUUCCCUUUCCUCUCUCCCAUCCCCUCCUCCCUUCCCGGGACCCCUUUAAACUCUUCUUCCUCCUUUAUCUCAGAAACUCAGUCCCAGAGCUCCUGCUGGACUCGGUCUCUGUCUCCUGCUCUGAUUCUUCUCGAAGUCAUGGCAGGACCUGGGGGUUGGAUGGACAAGGAGGUGACAGAUCUGGGCCACUAACCGGUAAGUAAAGUACCUCCAGACCACCACCCUCCUCGUGCGCUUCUUUCCUAGGCUUUUGAAAGCCCAGGGGAAAACAGCCCACACCCUCCAGCAGCCUAGGCCAGGACUUCGAUGGGCUGUGCCUCAGGAUGGACCAGGAAAGCAGGCAGAAUCAGUGUCCCUGGGCUCCUGGCUAAGAUGAAGGCCAGAAAAAAGAAAGGGACCAGGAUCCAACUGGAAUAUUCUCACUAGAUAAAAACAUUGGUCUCGGUACUUAUGGGAAAAUCUAUUUGAUAUAUUAGACAGUAGCAGCUGUUCAACAACUAACCUAUACAACAAAAUGGAGAGAUACCAUUCAAAGUCAAUGUAAAAGCUGGCAAUAGGAAUACUAAGGAUGCAAAGUUGCAUUGGCAUGUAAUAUUAGCAAAACAGUCAGUAGAACUUUCAGAAUGAAUAAAAUGACCUUGAGCUUCAUGAGCUUUCAACUGAACUGCUACCAUCUGAAACCUGCUCCUCAUUGCCAUUUAACAUGGUGAAGACAACAAAAGGAACUAAGUGUUUCGAGGCAACCAUUUCAAGGAAAGGCAAAUUUAUCUGAAAUAUAGUAAAAAAUUUAUAUGGAUGGUUCUGAAACUGAAAAUUAUCUUCGAUGUUGAUCCUUAGAGACCUUAGUGGAGAAAUCUGCCUCUUGGUAGUCAGAGGGUUAAUUCAGGUAAAUGAUAAUGUGACAUUAUAGUCAUGAGCAAAUUCCUGACUUGUUUUUGCUUUGGAAAUGCACCACUAAUCUUGGACAUCUUGUUUAAAAACACUGUCCAGUG